rnacentral:pre_miRNA from 1 species
UUUGAUGGAUGAGCAAAGAAAGUGCUUUCUUGAGAUAAAAUGUACUCCCAGUGAAGAUACUGUGAA